rnacentral:rRNA from 1 species
GAUGAACGCUGGCGGCGUGCCUAAUACAUGCAAGUCGAGCGAACGGACGAGAAGCUUGCUUCUCUGAUGUUAGCGGCGGACGGGCGAGUAACACGUGGAUAACCUACCUAUAAGACUGGGAUAACUUCGGGAAACCGGAGCUAAUACCGGAUAAUAUUUUGAACCGCAUGGUUCAAAAGUGAAAGACGGUCUUGCUGUCACUUAUAGAUGGAUCCGCGCUGCAUUAGCUAGUUGGUAAGGUAACGGCUUACCAAGGCAACGAUGCAUAGCCGACCUGAGAGGGUGAUCGGCCACACUGGAACUGAGACACGGUCCAGACUCCUACGGGAGGCAGCAGUAGGGAAUCUUCCGCAAUGGGCGAAAGCCUGACGGAGCAACGCCGCGUGAGUGAUGAAGGUCUUCGGAUCGUAAAACUCUGUUAUUAGGGAAGAACAUAUGUGUAAGUAACUGUGCACAUCUUGACGGUACCUAAUAAGAAAGCCACGGCUAACUACGUGCCAGCAGCCGCGGUAAUACGUAGGUGGCAAGCGUUAUCCGGAAUUAUUGGGCGUAAAGCGCGCGUAGGCGGUUUUUUAAGUCUGAUGUGAAAGCCCACGGCUCAACCGUGGAGGGUCAUUGGAAACUGGAAAACUUGAGUGCAGAAGAGGAAAGUGGAAUUCCAUGUGUAGCGGUGAAAUGCGCAGAGAUAUGGAGGAACACCAGUGGCGAAGGCGACUUUCUGGUCUGUAACUGACGCUGAUGUGCGAAAGCGUGGGGAUCAAACAGGAUUAGAUACCCUGGUAGUCCACGCCGUAAACGAUGAGUGCUAAGUGUUAGGGGGUUUCCGCCCCUUAGUGCUGCAGCUAACGCAUUAAGCACUCCGCCUGGGGAGUACGACCGCAAGGUUGAAACUCAAAGGAAUUGACGGGGACCCGCACAAGCGGUGGAGCAUGUGGUUUAAUUCGAAGCAACGCGAAGAACCUUACCAAAUCUUGACAUCCUUUGACAACUCUAGAGAUAGAGCCUUCCCCUUCGGGGGACAAAGUGACAGGUGGUGCAUGGUUGUCGUCAGCUCGUGUCGUGAGAUGUUGGGUUAAGUCCCGCAACGAGCGCAACCCUUAAGCUUAGUUGCCAUCAUUAAGUUGGGCACUCUAAGUUGACUGCCGGUGACAAACCGGAGGAAGGUGGGGAUGACGUCAAAUCAUCAUGCCCCUUAUGAUUUGGGCUACACACGUGCUACAAUGGACAAUACAAAGGGCAGCGAAACCGCGAGGUCAAGCAAAUCCCAUAAAGUUGUUCUCAGUUCGGAUUGUAGUCUGCAACUCGACUACAUGAAGCUGGAAUCGCUAGUAAUCGUAGAUCAGCAUGCUACGGUGAAUACGUUCCCGGGUCU